UUAAAUUGAAGAGUUUGAUCAUGGCUCAGAUUGAACGCUGGCGGCAGGCCUAACACAUGCAAGUCGAACGGUAACAGGAAGCAGCUUGCUGCUUUGCUGACGAGUGGCGGACGGGUGAGUAAUGUCUGGGAAACUGCCUGAUGGAGGGGGAUAACUACUGGAAACGGUGGCUAAUACCGCAUAACGUCGCAAGACCAAAGAGGGGGACCUUCGGGCCUCUUGCCAUCAGAUGUGCCCAGAUGGGAUUAGCUUGUUGGUGAGGUAACGGCUCACCAAGGCGACGAUCCCUAGCUGGUCUGAGAGGAUGACCAGCCACACUGGAACUGAGACACGGUCCAGACUCCUACGGGAGGCAGCAGUG
rnacentral:rRNA from 1 species